CAGAUAUUAGUUUAUAUUAAAAUUUUAGUUUUGGAGACUAGGGAUAAUUUUUGUUAUAUCUGA
rnacentral:tRNA from 1 species